CAUUUAAGGGCCAGCCACUGAAGGGAGGGUAUCUCUUGGAUCUAGGCUGCUUCCUGAGGAGGAGUGUUCUGUAGCUAGUGAUCUUCACAAAUUGGGCUUCAUUUUGAGCCCAGACUGAACAGUAAUGGAUGCUAGUAAGAAUCACUUGUGAUGUAGCACUGGUUUCUGAAGCCAGAGUGAGGGUAUGCAUGAGAGUUAUGGCUGUGAUACUCUUUAACGUGGGGUUCUCUAGACUGCCUAAAAGUCAGCAUCAGAGGUUAAUGUGUCAGACAGACCAGGAUGUUUUAAGGUAUAGCUAACAAAACUUUACACUGAGGCUGAGCUGUACAUGGCCUAAAUAUAUUUCUGCCUCCUCAGCCAGCUGGAAAGAUGACAUGCUGUUGAGAAGAAAACCUUCAGAGAUGCAUUAAAUAGACUCUGAGAGCCAGAGGUGGAGGAAGCCAGUUGGAAAAUGAAGCAUACCUAGGAUAACUGUUACUAGAUAGCUGUUGUUAGAUAACUGCAGUUAAAUGGCUUUAUACCAGGCUUCUAGUGUUUUCAGAAAAUUGACGGUGCUCCUGUGUAUUCUCAG
ensembl:lncRNA